UACAGAGGUCUCAAGCGUUGUUCGGAUUCAUUGGGCGUAAAGGGUGCGUAGGUGGCGCUGUAAGUCGGGUGUGAAAUUUCGGAGCUUAACUCCGAAACUGCAUUCGAUACUGCGGUGCUUGAGGACUGGAGAGGAGACUGGAAUUCAUGGUGUAGCAGUGAAAUGCGUAGAGAUCAUGAGGAACACCAGUGGCGAAGGCGGCGACCUGGGCCAAUAUUGACGCUGAGGUGCGAAAGCGUGGGGGAGCAAACAGG
rnacentral:rRNA from 1 species